rnacentral:rRNA from 1 species
GUGGUAAUGCCGGAUGCUCCGACUCCUCGCAUGGGGUGUCGGGAAAGAUUUCAUCGGUAUGGGAUGGGGUCGCGUCCUAUCAGGUAGUCGGCGGGGUAACGGCCCACCGAGCCUACGACGGGUAGCCGGCCUGAGAGGGCGACCGGCCACAUUGGGACUGAGAUACGGCCCAGACUCCUACGGGAGGCAGCAGUGGGGAAUAUUGCACAAUGGGCGCAAGCCUGAUGCAGCGACGCCGCGUGCGGGAUGACGGCCUUCGGGUUGUAAACCGCUUUUGAUCGGGAGCAAGCCUUCGGGUGAGUGUACCUUUCGAAUAAGCACCGGCUAACUACGUGCCAGCAGCCGCGGUAAUACGUAGGGUGCAAGCGUUAUCCGGAAUUAUUGGGCGUAAAGGGCUCGUAGGCGGUUCGUCGCGUCCGGUGUGAAAGUCCAUCGCUUAACGGUGGAUCUGCGCCGGGUACGGGCGGGCUGGAGUGCGGUAGGGGAGACUGGAAUUCCCGGUGUAACGGUGGAAUGUGUAGAUAUCGGAAAGAACACCA